rnacentral:tRNA from 1 species
GACCCCGUGGCGUAAUGGUAGCGCGUGAGAUUCCAACUGGAAUGUGUCGAGCACCUCUGUGUGUUCGGAUGUUUCCUCAAGGUUGUCCGUUCGAUUCGGGCCGGGGUCG